AUGCAGUCUUGGCCUGAGGGCAGUUCAGUGUCUGCUAUGAAGGAGCAUGGGUAGAUACACAAGAACAGAAAACAUCUGUUGACUACUUGAUCUUCAGUAUUCAACAGUAUGGCUGAAAAGUGCUUGCCUGAAUAUAUAGAUAUACACACUACAUGUGUUUCUGGUUCCAACAACAGAAGAGGACAUUGGAUCACCCAAAACUGGAGUUAUAGAUAGCUGUGAGCGGCCACAUGAGUGGAAACAAAACCUAGGUCUGAAAGACCAGGCUCUUAACUGCUGAGCCAUCUCUCCGGUCUCUACAAUGCAGGUUCAGUCAACUCAUUUCUUUUCUCCAAACCCCAGACUAUAUCUCUGGUUCUAACAGGCUACCCCAUCUGUGUCUCUCUACGCAUUUGCUCACACUGUUCUCUGAGCAUUAUCACAUUAUCAUUCUUUCUAGGCUGGUGACAGCAAAAGCUGAACAUUGAUUUUGAGUUCUCACUCUAGCAAAGCUCUUCUGCCUUGGCAAUUUUUAUCCUGAGCGAGGGAUCUAACAGUCAU